CUUGUAGUAUCAUCACAAUGUAUAUAAUUGAAGCAUGACAUCAUCAUCAUCAUCAUCACACAUGUACUAUUACAACCUUCGGUGUUUACAUCAAGUAUUGCAUUUCAGUAUUACAUGCCAAAAUAUCCAAAGUGUGAUGAAAACAAAACAUAACAAAAUAUCCGUGUAUUCUUGCUGACCAACCUACUCAACGAUUUCUUGAGAAUACAAGUUAAUUUAAAAAGGUCAACAUAUAUAAUGCUGGUGAGUCCAUAAGCAUGUUUGAGAAAAAUCUUUUGUAUUACUUUGUAAACACCAGAAAAUCCGAUAUUUUAUGAAAAACGGUUUGAAAUGUUUGUGUCCAAUCUUGUAUUAAUGCAUGCAUGUUAAUGUUUGUGAGAAUAUAAAGAGAAUGACCCCAGACAGCCCGAUGUUGUCUGUUUAUGAAAAUGUUGGAAUCUCAAGACCCGAGGUUGAGUAUCAGCGCGUAUAAGUUACCGUGUUAUCCACAAAAGAUUGUUUCUCGUAAAUUUUAAAAUGGUGUUAAUUUCUCUAAGUGAGUCGCUAUAACCAUACUUGAUAAUGACAAUUUCGCAUGUCAUGACGUCUUUCAGACGUCGACUUGUUUCAGGUAAGGUUUGUCACCCUAGACUGGCCUAGUCUAACUGUAGCGAACAACUCAGGUAAGGUAUAUUAUUGGCCCAAUAAACAUGUAAGUGGACAACUAAGGCCCACUAAGCAUGUAAUCUAUAUUCCAGGUCCAAUGAGCAUAUAAUGUAUAUUCCAAGCCAAAUAAACAUGUAAGUGGACAUCUAAGGCCCACUAAGUUAUGAAUUUAUAUUCCAGGCCAAAAUAUCCAAAGUGUGAUGAAAACAAAACAUAAUAAAAUAUCCAUGUAUUCUUGUUGACCAACCUACUCAACGAUUUCUUGAGAAUACAAGUUAAUUUAAA
rnacentral:lncRNA from 1 species